rnacentral:tRNA from 1 species
AGGGUUGUAGUUAAUUAUAACAUUUGAAUUGCACUCAAAAAGUACUAAUAUUUCUUAGUCAACCUUA